rnacentral:rRNA from 1 species
GACGAACGCUGGCGGCGUGCUUAACACAUGCAAGUCGAACGGAAAGGCCCUGCUUUUGUGGGGUGCUCGAGUGGCGAACGGGUGAGUAACACGUGAGUAACCUGCCCUUGACUUUGGGAUAACUUCAGGAAACUGGGGCUAAUCCCGGAUAGGAGCUCCUGCUGCAUGGUGGGGGUUGGAAAGUUUCGGCGGUUGGGGAUGGACUGGCGGCUUAUCAGCUUGUUGGUGGGGUAGUGGCUUACCAAGGCUUUGACGGGUAGCCGGCCUGGGAGGGUGACCGGCCACAUUGGGACUGAGAUACGGCCCAGACUCCUACGGGAGGCAGCAGUGGGGAAUAUUGCACAAUGGGCGGAAGCCUGAUGCAGCAACGCCGCGUGCGGGAUGACGGCCUUCGGGUUGUAAACCGCUUUCGCCUGUGACGAAGCGUGAGUGACGGUAAUGGGUAAAGAAGCACCGGCUAACUACGUG